GAGUUGGGCCUGUUUAACUAAGCUUGGACCAUAGUUCAUGUCUGCAACUUGAAAAUCGUGUGCUUCAGCAAGAAAGAAAGAGAGCAUGCAGUGCUCAGGUCAUUGAAGCAACUUAAUUGUGAAAUUCGGUUCUUUUAAGGUGCAUCGACAAGACUACAUGAUCACCUAAAGAAGCAUUAGUGUUAGAACAUGAAACCCCAAUAAGAAGCCUGCUAAAUCGACGGAGGCAGGACCAUCAUCAGAAACACCAGGUAGCAAGAAUACAACAGAGCAUUGAACAAGUUUCUCAGAAGCCCACUAUGAUGAAGUUCCAGCUUAUUGCACAAUGUUAAUCCCCACCCCUCUUAUCCAGUACAUAGGAAGAACUGUAGGCGAUUUCAUCAAUAGACAAUACAAAAUCUUGAAGCUCGUGCAAGACAGAUGGAAAUGACGAUAUUCUGUUAUCAUAAUAAACACAACCUUUAAUUCUAACA